AUGUCACCUGAGAGUCAAUGGACAACGAUCAAAUUUCACCUUGAGCAGGUUCUUUUGUUUACUUUCUAGUCACAAAUAGCUUGGCCCUAAGUGGCGGCUCCCAUUCUUGUAAGAUGCGUUUAUUUAUCGCGUAAUCACCAGUUCCCUGUAGUGGGGGUGUGGAUGGAGCAUCAGAGGCUCCUGCUGGUCUUUAGGGUGUCUGACCUCCAUUAAUCCUAGAGGUAGUAUUUGGAGAGAUUUUUAAAAGCUUUCUGUGACCAGCAAAACCUGGGUUUGACACUGAGGUCAGCCUGUUUCAGCCAGUGACUUAACCUGUCUUUUUGCCCCAAUAAAUUGUGAACACAGCACCUGAUCUUAGAGUUGUUGUGAAAAUUAAAGAAGGUGAUGUUUGGACAGCACCCAGCCCAAUACGUGAAACUGUACCAGCACCCAGGGAGCAUAGCUAUUCCCGUGACCACCACACAUUUACCUUAUCUCAGCAGCAUGCCUGUGUCACUUUUUCGGCCUGCUUUUCUCAUGGGUAUAUUCAGAGAAGAGGAAUGUUUGUUCACUGGUGAAGAGAACGUCCCAUGUACUAUCGUGUAGAAGUUGUAGUAGACGCUGUGGUCUUUCCAACAACAAACAAAAAAAAAGGAAAAAAAAGUGAAUUUCUUACCCAGGUCUGCAAAAGCUUUUAAGACCUGACCUGUAGCCACCCACACCUGGAAGUUCCAGCCUUGUCUCUCCCCAGUUCACCCAGUAAGCGCUGGACACAGGGCUGAGUUGGGACUUCCUUGCCAGUGGCUUACUCUGCCUGGAAACCUCCUUUCUCUCUCCCCACUUCCUAGGCUCUGCUUAGGUGCUAUUUUACCGUAAACCCUCCAGGCUCUUCUCUCUGGAAAUGCCUCUUUCUUCUUCCCUUUACCUUCCAUCUGAAUCGCAGGAUGUCUUCUUCCUCACGCUCAGGACAGGCCUUCUUAGCGUUUAUCCUGCUUUGUCAUCUGCAUGCCCCACAGGGCUGAGAGCUACAAGGAGCCUGAAUCACACCUCCAACUCCCCCAGGGUAUGGGAACGGGUUCAGAAUGUUCUUCCUGAAGGUGGGAGACAACAUGAAGAGUGGUUAUUUCUGGGUUAUGGGAUGAAGAGUAAUUUUUUUGUUUUCUUUAUUAGACGUUACCAAAUGAAUCUGCUUGGUGUUAACCACAUAUGGCUUUUAUAAUCGGAAAAACAAAACAAAACUGACAGUAAAAAUACAUAGAGGAAGCAUUUAUUAUGUAAAAUAUUAUCGUUAAAACUUCGUUGGUUUUAAA